rnacentral:rRNA from 1 species
UAUUGGACAAUGGGCGAAAGCCUGAUCCAGCAAUGCCGCGUGAGUGAUGAAGGCCUUAGGGUUGUAAAGCUCUUUUACCAGGGAUGAUAAUGA